UCACUAUUUAUCAUCUAAAACAGAAAAAUCAUAAAGAAGAUGAGAAUUUUGACCUUGGUUGGGGGCAAUUUCGGAAUUUUGGCUAAAUGUCGACCUUGGUUGGGGUUGUGGCGGUAUUGUGGCUGCCUUGAGGGAAGGAGAAGCUAGCUAGCACCGGUCCAAGAAGCAAUGCGUCCACCAAGUUGAAAAACUGCGAGAUAUUGAAGAAAAAACGAGAGAGAAGUAUCAGCUGUGAAUGGCAGAAAGGUAAACUGUGAAGGGUAUAUGCGUUUAGCAUUAGCGGCGACGGCUAUUAGCGGCGACGUAGGGCAAUAGCGGCGACAUUAGGGCAUUAGCGGCGACACACGGAGGGAAAACAUUAAGUUGAUUUUACAAUUAAUUUAUUAUUUUUUAAUGUUUUUUUAAAUUAAUUUAAUUUUAUUCUAUUUAAAUUAAAAUUACUAGAAAUACAUUGCUAUUAAUAACCUAAUUAAAGCUAAAGUUGUAAUGACCAACAUUAAGUCACUAAAAGUAUGUUGCUAUUAAGUUGGUCAAACAUUAAGUCACUAACAAAAUUAAGCACUUUCAAACCAUAUACAAUACAUUACUAGAAGUAAGUUGCUAUUAAUAGCCUAAUUAAGCUAAAUGUAUACAUCCAAUUUCAUAUUUCAAUAACCUAAUUAAGCUAAAUGCAUAUUUCAAUUUCAUCCAAUUUCAUACAAUUAAGCCAAAUGUAUAUAUAUUCAAUUUCAUACAAUUUGCAUAUUCCAAUUUAAUCCAAUUUGCAUAUUCCAAUUUCAUACAAAUAUAUACAUCUAAGUUUCAUGUUAAGGCAAUGUGGUAUAACUUCAAUGUAAUCUAAACAUAAAUUUCAACAAAAUACAUACAAUCCAACAAAAUUCCCACAAAUGUGAACAAAACACACAUAAUAAUUCAACAAUCCAACAAAAUGCAUAACCAACAAAAUACAUACAAUCCAACAAAAUGCAUAACCAAUUCAUAUAUCAAAAUACAAACAUAAUCACUCAACAAACUUGAAAAAUACUCACUAUUUAUCAUCUAAAACAGAAAAAUCAUAAAGAAGAUGAGAAUUUUGACCUUGGUUGGGGGCAAUUUCGGAAUUUUGGCUAAAUGUCGACCUUGGUUGGGGUUGUGGCGGUAUUGUGGCUGCCUUGAGGGAAGGAGAAGCUAGCUAGCACCGGUCCAAGAAGCAAUGCGUCCACCAAGUUGAAAAUUUGCGAGAUAUUGAAGAAAAAACGAGAGAAAAAUUGUUAUGUGUAUAAGCUGUGAAUGGCAGAAAGGUAAACUGUGAAGGGUAUAUGCGUUUAGCAUUAGCGGCGACAGCUAUUAGCGGCGACGAAGGGUAAUAGCGGCGACAUUAGGGCAUUAGCGGCGACACACGGAGGG
rnacentral:lncRNA from 1 species